rnacentral:lncRNA from 1 species
UAUAUAUAUAUUUUUUACUUUAAGUUCUAGGAUACAUGCGCAGAACGUGCAGGUUUGUUACAUAGGUAUACAUGUGCCAUGGUGGUUUGCUGCACCUGUCAACCUGUCAUCUAGGUUUUAAGCCCUGCAUGCAUUAUGUAUUUGUCCUAAUGCUCUCCCUCCCCUUGCCCCCCACCCACCGACAAGCCCCGUAUGUGUAAUGUUCCCCUCCCUGUGUCCAUGUGUUCUCAUUUAAAACAAUAUUCUUUUUUUUUUUUUUUUUUUUUUUUUUUGAGACGGAGUCUCGUUCUGUCGCCCAGGCGGGAGUGCUGUGGCGCGAUCUCCGCUCACUGCAAGCUCCGCCUUCCGGGUUCACGCCAUUCUCCUGCCUCAGCCUCCCGAGUAGCUGGGACUACAGGCGCCUGCCACUGCGCCCAGCUAAUUUUUUGUAUUUUUAGUAGAGACGGGGUUUCACCGUGGUCUCGAUCUCCUGACCUCGUGAUCCGCCCGCCUCGGCCUCCCAAAUAACUGGGAUUACAGGCGUCCGCCACC